UACGUAGGGGGCAAGCGUUGUCCGGAAUCAUUGGGCGUAAAGCGCGCGUAGGCGGCCCGGUAAGUCCGUUGUGAAAGUCAAAGGCUCAACCUUUGAACGCCGAUGGAUACUGCCGGGCUAGAGUCCGGAAGAGGCGAGUGGAAUUCCUGGUGUAGCGGUGGAAUGCGCAGAUAUUAGGAGGAACACCAAUAGCGAAGGCAGCUCGCUGGGACGGUACUGACGCUGAGGCGCGAAAGCUAGGGGAGCAAACGGG
rnacentral:rRNA from 1 species